UGGGGAAUAUUGCACAAUGGGCGAAAGCCUGAUGCAGCAACGCCGCGUGAAGGAUGAAGGGUUUCGGCUCGUAAACUUCUAUCAAUAGGGAAGAAACAAAUGACGGUACCUAAAUAAGAAGCCCCGGCUAACUACGUGCCAGCAGCCGCGGUAAUACGUAGGGGGCAAGCGUUAUCCGGAAUUACUGGGUGUAAAGGGAGCGUAGGCGGCAUGGUAAGCCAGAUGUGAAAGCCUUGGGCUUAACCCGAGGAUUGCAUUUGGAACUAUCAAGCUAGAGUACAGGAGAGGAAAGCGGAAUUCCUAGUGUAGCGGUGAAAUGCGUAGAUAUUAGGAAGAACACCAGUGGCGAAGGCGGCUUUCUGGACUGAAACUGACGCUGAGGCUCGAAAGCGUGGGGAGC
rnacentral:rRNA from 1 species